CUUUAUGAAAUUCAUAGGCCUCAUUGUAAUAAAUGAUAGUGUGGCCUUUGAGUGAAGAUGCAUAGAAAAACAGCUGUAAAUUUUACAGCAACGGCCAGACAACCGUGGAGAUGGAUCCACGGAUGAGUUGCUCUUUAUAAUGUUGCUCGUUCACUAAAUCCAUCUUACAUUA
rfam:Beta vulgaris subsp. vulgaris Bvchr2.sca017.con0059.1, whole genome shotgun sequence.